AUUGAACGCUGGCGGCAUGCUUUACACAUGCAAGUCGAACGGUAACAGGGAGCUUGCUCCGCUGACGAGUGGCGAACGGGUGAGUAAUGCAUCGGAACGUACCGUGUAAUGGGGGGAUAACGUAGCGAAAGUUACGCUAAUACCGCAUACGCCCUGAGGGGGGAAAGUGGGGGACCGCAAGGCCUCACGUUAUACGAGCGGCCGAUGUCGGAUUAGCUAGUUGGUGGGGUAAAGGCCUACCAAGGCGACGAUCCGUAGCGGGUCUGAGAGGAUGAUCCGCCACACUGGGACUGAGACACGGCCCAGACUCCUACGGGAGGCAGCAGUGGGGGAUAUUGGACAAUGGGCGAAAGCCUGAUCCAGCAAUGCCGCGUGAGUGAUGAAGGCCCUAGGGUUGUAAAGCUCUUUUACCCGGGAUGAUAAUGACAGUACCGGGAGAAUAAGCUCCGGCUAACUCCGUGCCAGCAGCCGCGGUAAU
rnacentral:rRNA from 1 species